rnacentral:rRNA from 1 species
UACAGAGGUCCCAAGCGUUGUUCGGAUUCACUGGGCGUAAAGGGUGCGUAGGCGGUCGGGUAAGUCUGAUGUGAAAUCUCACAGCUUAACUGUGAAAACUGCAUUGGAUACUAUCCGGCUCGAGGAAUGGAGGGGAGACUGGAAUACUUGGUGUAGCAGUGAAAUGCGUAGAUAUCAAGUGGAACACCAGUGGCGAAGGCGAGUCUCUGGACAUUUCCUGACGGCUGAGGCACGAAAGCCAGGGGAGCAAACGGG